CGAAGGGCUAGCGUUGCUCGGAAUGACUGGGCGUAAAGGGCGCGUAGGCGGCACACACAGUCAGGCGUGAAAUUCCUGGGCUUAACCUGGAGGCUGCGUUUGAGACGUGUGAGCUAGAGGAUGGAAGAGGCUCGUGGAAUUCCCAGUGUAGAGGUGAAAUUCGUAGAUAUUGGGAAGAACACCGGUGGCGAAGGCGGCGAGCUGGUCCAUUACUGACGCUGAGGCGCGAAAGCGUGGGAGCAAACAGGAUU
rnacentral:rRNA from 1 species